UACGGAAGGUCCGGGCGUUAUCCGGAUUUAUUGGGUUUGAAGGGAGCGCAGGCCGGAGAUUAAGCGUGACGAGAAAUGCCGCGGCUCAACCGUGGAAGUGCGUCGCGAACUGGUUUCCUUGAGUGCAUUCGACGUCAGCGGAAUUCGUGGUGUAGCGGUGAAAUGCUUAGAUAUCACGAAGAACUCCGAUUGCGAAGGCAGCUGGCGAGACUGUAACUGACGCUAAGGCUCGAAGGUGCGGGUAUCAAAC
rnacentral:rRNA from 1 species